UUCUAACUUUUAAUGAUUUAAAUUAUUAUGUUAUUGGUUCAUGACUUUCUACAUUUUUCUUCACAAAAGAAAGUUAUAGAAAGUCAUGAAAAGUAUUAUCCAAAUAGAGAGAUUGUUUGAAAAACUUUACAAGAUUAUGAAAAACUAAUCAACAAAAA
rnacentral:sRNA from 1 species